AAAACACACGGCGAGUCGCUAUCGACUAUGGAUGGGAUCCUAUUGUAGUCCUUCAUCUUAGUCAAAAUUAGGUGCGGCCAUCCUAUCAUGUGUGAAUUUUGAGAUUACAACCGUGAAAUAUUGGUUUGGAG